rnacentral:rRNA from 1 species
AGAGUUUGAUCCUGGCUCAGAACGAACGCUGGCGGCAGGCUUAAUACAUGCAAGUCGAACGCCCGUAGCAAUACGGGAGUGGCAGACGGGUGAGUAACACGUGGGAACGUACCCAAAGGUAAGGAACAACUCCGGGAAACUGGAGCUAAUGCCUUAUGUGCCCGAGAGGGGAAAGAUUUAUCGCCUUUGGAUCGGCCCGCGUCGGAUUAGCUUGUUGGUGAGGUAAAGGCUCACCAAGGCGACGAUCCGUAGCUGUUCUGAGAGGAAGAUCAGCCACACUGGGACUGAGACACGGCCCAGACUCCUACGGGAGGCAGCAGUAGGGAAUCUUGGACAAUGGGCGCAAGCCUGAUCCAGCCAUGCCGCGUGAGUGAUGAAGGCCUUAGGGUCGUAAAACUCUUUCACACGUGACGAUAAUGACGGUAACGGAGAAGAAGCCC